AGUGAACGCUGGCGGUAGGCCUAACACAUGCAAGUCGAACGGCAGCACAGGAGAGCUUGCUCUCUGGGUGGCGAGUGGCGGACGGGUGAGGAAUACAUCGGAAUCUACUCUGUCGUGGGGGAUAACGUAGGGAAACUUACGCUAAUACCGCAUACGACCUACGGGUGAAAGCAGGGGAUCUUCGGACCUUGCGCGAUUGAAUGAGCCGAUGUCGGAUUAGCUAGUUGGCGGGGUAAAGGCCCACCAAGGCGACGAUCCGUAGCUGGUCUGAGAGGAUGAUCAGCCACACCGGAACUGAGACACGGUCCAGACUCCUACGGGAGGCAGCAGUGGGGAAUAUUGGACAAUGGGCGCAAGCCUGAUCCAGCCAUACCGCGUGGGUGAAGAAGGCCUUCGGGUUGUAAAGCCCUUUUGUUGGGAAAGAAAUCCAGCUGGCUAAUACCCGGUUGGGAUGACGGUACCCAAAGAAUAAGCACCGGCUAACUUCGUUCCAGCCGCCGCGGUAA
rnacentral:rRNA from 1 species